GGCCAGGUAGCUCAGUUGGUUAGAGCGUCGUCCCCAGAGGCCAAGGUUGCUGGUUCCAACCCUGGUCA
rnacentral:tRNA from 1 species